CUAAUAAGCUAGGGGUGCCUGACUAGGUUCAGGCUGAGAAAAACACCCUUGGAACCUGAGUCCGGCUAGUACCGGCGGAGGGAAGCUAUUAAUACGAGGA
rnacentral:ncRNA from 1 species